AAUCUGCCCUUGGGUUCGGAAUAACAGUGAGAAAUUACUGCUAAUACCGGAUGAUGACUUCGGUCCAAAGAUUUAUCGCCCAAGGAUGAGCCCGCGUAAGAUUAGCUAGUUGGUGAGGUAAAGGCUCCAAGGCGACGAUCUUUAGCUGGUCUGAGAGGAUGAUCAGCCACACUGGGACUGAGACACGGCCCAGACUCCUACNGGAGGCAGCAGUGGGGAAUAUUGGACAAUGGGCGAAAGCCUGAUCCAGCAAUGCCGCGUGAGUGAUGAANGCCUUAGGGUUGUAAAGCUCUUUUACCAGGGAUGAUAAUGAC
rnacentral:rRNA from 1 species